rnacentral:rRNA from 1 species
UACAGAGGGGGCAAGCGUUAUUCGGAAUUAUUGGGCGUAAAGGGCGCGUAGGCGGCCUGGCAAGUGGAUGGUGAAAUCCCUCGGCUUAACCGAGGAACUGCCAUCCAGACUGCUUGGCUUGAGACCGGGAGAGGUGAGUGGAAUUCCCAGUGUAGCGGUGAAAUGCGUAGAUAUUGGGAGGAACACUAGUGGCGAAGGCGGCUCACUGGACCGGUACUGACGCUGAUGCGCGAAAGCGUGGGGAGCAAACGGG